rnacentral:tRNA from 1 species
UCCCUGGUGGUCUACUGGUUAAGUCUCUGUGUUUCCACUGCAGCGGGCAAAGGUUCAAUUCCUGGCUGGGGAA